AACGAACGCUGGCGGCAUGCCUAACACAUGCAAGUCGAACGAACUCUUCGGAGUUAGUGGCGCACGGGUGCGUAACGCGUGGGAAUCUGCCCUUGGGUACGGAAUAACUCAGAGAAAUUUGUGCUAAUACCGUAUAAUGUCUUCGGACCAAAGAUUUAUCGCCCAAGGAUGAGCCCGCGUAAGAUUAGCUUGUUGGUGAGGUAAAAGCUCACCAAGGCGACGAUCUUUAGCUGGUCUGAGAGGAUGAUCAGCCACACUGGGACUGAGACACGGCCCAGACUCCUACGGGAGGCAGCAGUGGGGAAUAUUGGACAAUGGGCGAAAGCCUGAUCCAGCAAUGCUGCGUGAGUGAUGAAGGCCUUAGGGUUGUAAAGCUCUUUUACCCGGGAUGAUAAUGACAGUACCGGGAGAAUAAGCUCCGGCUAACUCCGUGCCAGCAGCCGCGGUAAU
rnacentral:rRNA from 1 species